rnacentral:rRNA from 1 species
UACGUAUGGUGCAAGCGUUAUCCGGAUUUACUGGGCGUAAAGGGAGCGCAGGCGGCGCGCCAAGUCUGAUGUGAAACCCCGGGGCUCAACCCCGGGCAUGCAUUGGAAACUGGCGGGCUGGAGUGCCGGAGAGGUAAGCGGAAUUCCUAGUGUAGCGGUGAAAUGCGUAGAUAUUAGGAGGAACACCAGUGGCGAAGGCGGCUUACUGGACGGCAACUGACGCUGAGGCUCGAAUGCGUGGGGAGCAAACAGG